ensembl:lncRNA
AUUCGCUGUCAAAAAAAAUCACUGUUCACAUCCGGGGGACUCAGGCGUAAACAAUCGAUACGAGCCAAAAUCGAACCAACGCCCAGCCAAUCACGUGACGCUCCUCCGGUCAUGUGACGCAGACGGUUCACCUCACAAGACUGGGGUCAACCACGGCUGCCAGUGUGAACGACGGGGCUUCACGUCUGAAGAUCUCAGACUUCAUUCUAAAGGACUCGCUGACAUUUCAGCUGCAAACAUCUCCCAGAGAAGAUCAGCCAAAGACCACCACUGACACCUGGACCUGGAACUCUCAACAGGAGGAGUUUCCACCUGGAGGACAGGUGAAGAUCAUUAACAGCAAUUACAGGGAGAAAGUGAAAAACAGAAAAUACACAUGAAUCUCUGAGCUGAUGAGGCAAGAUGACAGGGAGAGAAGGAUGAGACUAUUUCCUGGUCCUGGUUCUGGUCUUGGUCCUGGUUCUGGUCUUGACCCUUGCUGUUUAGCUGGUCAAAUGCUGCCCACCGUCCAGCCUGCCUCACCUGAAGAGGACGAAGAACCUCAGAGGAACCAGAGGAACCUCCUUCCAGGUGAAGAGCAGCAGGAAAUGCAUCACUCAGAGCUGUAGUGCACUGCGACAGCUGCUACCUGCCAUCCGCAGGGGCCACGUUGACAUGGUAACAGUGCUGGAGACAAGUGCUGCAUUCCUUGAGACGGUCCAGGAAUUAGUCCCAGCCAAGAACUUCAAAAUACAGGUAAAACACUGA